rnacentral:rRNA from 1 species
GACGAACGCUGGCGGCGUGCUUAACACAUGCAAGUCGAACGGAAAGGCUCCAGCUUGCUGGCGUACUCGAGUGGCGAACGGGUGAGUAACACGUGGGUAAUCUGCCCUGCACUCUGGGAUAAGCCUGGGAAACUGGGUCUAAUACUGGAUAUGACCUUUCUCCUUAUGGGGUUUGGUGGAAAGUUUUUCGGUGUAGGAUGAGCCCGCGGCCUAUCAGCUUGUUGGUGGGGUGAUGGCCUACCAAGGCGACGACGGGUAGCCGGCCUGAGAGGGUGAUCGGCCACAUUGGGACUGAGAUACGGCCCAGACUCCUACGGGAGGCAGCAGUGGGGAAUAUUGCACAAUGGGCGGAAGCCUGAUGCAGCGACGCCGCGUGAGGGAUGACGGCCUUCGGGUUGUAAACCUCUUUCAGCAGGGACGAAGCGUAAGUGACGGUACCUGCAGAAGAAGCACCGGCUAACUAUGUG